UACUGAGUGGCAAACGGGUGAGUAUAAUGUGGGUAUCUGCCUUUUGGUCUGGAAUAACACGGGGAAACUUGUGCUAAUACCGGAUAAGCCUUUACAGGGAAAGUUUUAAUGCCAAAAGAUGAGCCCGCACUUGAUUAGCUAGUUGGUAAGGUAAAAGCUUACCAAGGCAACGAUCAAUAGCUGUUCUUAGAGGAAGACCAGCCACAUUGGGACUGAGACACGGCCCAAACUCCUACGGGAGGCAGCAGUAGGGAAUCUUGCACAAUGGGGGAAACCCUGAUGCAGCGAUGCCGCGUGAGUGAAGAAGGCCUUUGGGUUGUAAAACUCUUUCGUCGGGGAAGAAAAUGACUGUACCCGAAUAAGAAGGUCCGGCUAACUUCGUGCCAGCAGCCGCGGUAAUACGAAGGGACCUAGCGUAGUUCGGAAUUACUGGGCUUAAAGAGCUCGUAGGUGGUUAAAAAAGUUGAUGGUGAAAUCCCAAGGCUUAACCUUGGAACUGCCAUCAAAACUUUUUAGCUAGAGUAUGAUA
rnacentral:rRNA from 1 species